AGGGAUGUAGCACAGCUUGGUAAAGCGUUUGUUUUGGGUACAAAAUGUCACGGUUCAAAUCUUGUCAUCCAUA
rfam:Lupinus angustifolius cultivar Tanjil chromosome LG20, whole genome shotgun sequence.